AGUUAUAAUAACACAUCCCUUCCUUACCCAUUCUCGUUCCCUUUAUUUUCUUCGCCCCUUCCCUUUCUACAUGCAUUUAGACUUGUGUCAAGACAUUUCCUCCAAAAAAGGACACAAGUUUGGGCAUUCUUUCUAUAGAUGCAAUAGGCAAAACACGCAAGACUGAUAGGCCACCUGACCUCCCUCGACUGGCCUACAGCAGACAACAACAAAGUGUUGGAGUUUCUUAAUAGAUGCAACACAUCUAAACUAGAACGUGGCAAAGCUGACUUUACACAAAGCAAAGAAUAAGAGAUGUUUUUACUUACAUGUUCGACCCAAACAUUGGUAGUGAGAAUCUGGUUCUUCAGGUCCUGCAUGUUUGAAUAAAGAAAAGUUUUGAUUUUAAAAAGUGCAUGUCAAAUACGUUGCAUUGAAUUCUCAAUAUAAAGACAUGGGCUCACAAGGGAAAUGUAAUAACCU